AGCGUACACGGUGGAUGCCCUGGCAGUCAGAGGCGAUGAAGGACGUGCUAAUCUGCGAUAAGCGUCGGUGAGGUGAUAUGAACCGUUAUAACCGGCGAUUUCCGAAUGGGGAAACCCAGUGUGAUUCGUCACACUAUCAUUAACUGAAUCCAUAGGUUAAUGAGGCGAACCGGGGGAACUGAAACAUCUAAGUACCCCGAGGAAAAGAAAUCAACCGAGAUUCCCCCAGUAGCGGCGAGCGAACGGGGAGGAGCCCAGAGCCUGAAUCAGUGUGUGUGUUAGUGGAAGCGUCUGGAAAGGCGCGCGAUACAGGGUGACAGCCCCGUACACAAAAAUGCACAUACUGUGAGCUCGAUGAGUAGGGCGGGACACGUGGUAUCCUGUCUGAAUAUGGGGGGACCAUCCUCCAAGGCUAAAUACUCCUGACUGACCGAUAGUGAACCAGUACCGUGAGGGAAAGGCGAAAAGAACCCCGGCGAGGGGAGUGAAAAAGAACCUGAAACCGUGUACGUACAAGCAGUGGGAGCCUCUUAAUGGGGUGACUGCGUACCUUUUGUAUAAUGGGUCAGCGACUUAUAUUCUGUAGCAAGGUUAACCGAAUAGGGGAGCCGAAGGGAAACCGAGUCUUAACUGGGCGUUAAGUUGCAGGGUAUAGACCCGAAACCCGGUGAUCUAGCCAUGGGCAGGUUGAAGGUUGGGUAACACUAACUGGAGGACCGAACCGACUAAUGUUGAAAAAUUAGCGGAUGACUUGUGGCUGGGGGUGAAAGGCCAAUCAAACCGGGAGAUAGCUGGUUCUCCCCGAAAGCUAUUUAGGUAGCGCCUCGUGAAUUCAUCUCCGGGGGUAGAGCACUGUUUCGGCAAGGGGGUCAUCCCGACUUACCAACCCGAUGCAAACUGCGAAUACCGGAGAAUGUUAUCACGGGAGACACACGGCGGGUGCUAACGUCCGUCGUGAAGAGGGAAACAACCCAGACCGCCAGCUAAGGUCCCAAAGUCAUGGUUAAGUGGGAAACGAUGUGGGAAGGCCCAGACAGCCAGGAUGUUGGCUUAGAAGCAGCCAUCAUUUAAAGAAAGCGUAAUAGCUCACUGGUCGAGUCGGCCUGCGCGGAAGAUGUAACGGGGCUAAACCAUGCACCGAAGCUGCGGCAGCGACACUAUGUGUUGUUGGGUAGGGGAGCGUUCUGUAAGCCUGUGAAGGUGUACUGUGAGGUAUGCUGGAGGUAUCAGAAGUGCGAAUGCUGACAUAAGUAACGAUAAAGCGGGUGAAAAGCCCGCUCGCCGGAAGACCAAGGGUUCCUGUCCAACGUUAAUCGGGGCAGGGUGAGUCGACCCCUAAGGCGAGGCCGAAAGGCGUAGUCGAUGGGAAACAGGUUAAUAUUCCUGUACUUGGUGUUACUGCGAAGGGGGGACGGAGAAGGCUAUGUUGGCCGGGCGACGGUUGUCCCGGUUUAAGCGUGUAGGCUGGUUUUCCAGGCAAAUCCGGAAAAUCAAGGCUGAGGCGUGAUGACGAGGCACUACGGUGCUGAAGCGACAAAUGCCCUGCUUCCAGGAAAAGCCUCUAAGCAUCAGGUAACAUUAAAUCGUACCCCAAACCGACACAGGUGGUCAGGUAGAGAAUACCAAGGCGCUUGAGAGAACUCGGGUGAAGGAACUAGGCAAAAUGGUGCCGUAACUUCGGGAGAAGGCACGCUGAUAUGUAGGUGAAGCGACUUGCUCGUGGAGCUGAAAUCAGUCGAAGAUACCAGCUGGCUGCAACUGUUUAUUAAAAACACAGCACUGUGCAAACACGAAAGUGGACGUAUACGGUGUGACGCCUGCCCGGUGCCGGAAGGUUAAUUGAUGGGGUUAGCGGCAACGCGAAGCUCUUGAUCGAAGCCCCGGUAAACGGCGGCCGUAACUAUAACGGUCCUAAGGUAGCGAAAUUCCUUGUCGGGUAAGUUCCGACCUGCACGAAUGGCGUAAUGAUGGCCAGGCUGUCUCCACCCGAGACUCAGUGAAAUUGAACUCGCUGUGAAGAUGCAGUGUACCCGCGGCAAGACGGAAAGACCCCGUGAACCUUUACUAUAGCUUGACACUGAACAUUGAGCCUUGAUGUGUAGGAUAGGUGGGAGGCUUUGAAGUGUGGACGCCAGUCUGCAUGGAGCCGACCUUGAAAUACCACCCUUUAAUGUUUGAUGUUCUAACGUGGGCCCGUAAUCCGGGUUGCGGACAGUGUCUGGUGGGUAGUUUGACUGGGGCGGUCUCCUCCUAAAGAGUAACGGAGGAGCACGAAGGUUGGCUAAUCCUGGUCGGACAUCAGGAGGUUAGUGCAAUGGCAUAAGCCAGCUUGACUGCGAGCGUGACGGCGCGAGCAGGUGCGAAAGCAGGUCAUAGUGAUCCGGUGGUUCUGAAUGGAAGGGCCAUCGCUCAACGGAUAAAAGGUACUCCGGGGAUAACAGGCUGAUACCGCCCAAGAGUUCAUAUCGACGGCGGUGUUUGGCACCUCGAUGUCGGCUCAUCACAUCCUGGGGCUGAAGUAGGUCCCAAGGGUAUGGCUGUUCGCCAUUUAAAGUGGUACGCGAGCUGGGUUUAGAACGUCGUGAGACAGUUCGGUCCCUAUCUGCCGUGGGCGCUGGAGAACUGAGGGGGGCUGCUCCUAGUACGAGAGGACCGGAGUGGACGCAUCACUGGUGUUCGGGUUGUCAUGCCAAUGGCACUGCCCGGUAGCUAAAUGCGGAAGAGAUAAGUGCUGAAAGCAUCUAAGCACGAAACUUGCCCCGAGAUGAGUUCU
rnacentral:rRNA from 1 species